rnacentral:rRNA from 1 species
CAGCAGCCGCGGUAAAACGUAGGUCCCGAGCGUUGUCCGGAUUUAUUGGGCGUAAAGCGAGCGCAGGCGGUUAGAUAAGUCUGAAGUUAAAGGCUGUGGCUUAGCCAUAGUACGCUUUGGAAACUGUUUAACUUGAGUGCAAGAGGGGAGAGUGGAAUUCCAUGUGUAGCGGUGAAAUGCGUAGAUAUAUGGAGGAACACCGGUGGUGAAAGCGGCUCUCUGGCUUGUAACUGACGCUGAGGCUCGAAAGCGUGGGGAGCAAACAGGACUAGAUACCCCAGUAGUCCCUGUCUCUUAUACA